rnacentral:rRNA from 1 species
GACGAACGCUGGCGGCGUGCUUAACACAUGCAAGUCGAACGGAAAGGCCCUGCUUUUGUGGGGUGCUCGAGUGGCGAACGGGUGAGUAACACGUGAGUAACCUGCCCUUGACUUUGGGAUAACUUCAGGAAACUGGGGCUAAUACCGGAUAGGAGCUCCUGCUGCAUGGUGGGGGUUGGAAAGUUUCGGCGGUUGGGGAUGGACUCGCGGCUUAUCAGCUUGUUGGUGGGGUAGUGGCUUACCAAGGCUUUGACGGGUAGCCGGCCUGAGAGGGUGACCGGCCACAUUGGGACUGAGAUACGGCCCAGACUCCUACGGGAGGCAGCAGUGGGGAAUAUUGUACAAUGGGCGGAAGCCUGAUGCAGCAACGCCGCGUGCGGGAUGACGGCCUUCGGGUUGUAAACCGCUUUCGCCUGUGACGAAGCGUGAGUGACGGUAAUGGGUAAAGAAGCACCGGCUAACUACGUGCCAGCAGCCGCGGUGAUACGUAGGGUGCGAGCGUUGUCCGGAUUUAUUGGGCGUAAAGGGCUCGUAGGUGGUUGAUCGCGUCGGAAGUGUAAUCUUGGGGCUUAACCCUGAGCGUGCUUUCGAUACGGGUUGACUUGAGGAAGGUAGGGGAGAAUGGAAUUCCUGGUGGAGCGGUGGAAUGCGCAGAUAUCAGGAGGAACACCAGUGGCGAAGGCGGUUCUCUGGGCCUUUCCUGACGCUGAGGAGCGAAAGCGUGGGGAGCGAACAGGCUUAGAUACCCUGGUAGUCCACGCUGUAAACGGUGGGUACUAGGUGUGGGGUCCAUUCCACGGGUUCCGUGCCGUAGCUAACGCUUUAAGUACCCCGCCUGGGGAGUACGGCCGCAAGGCUAAAACUCAAAGGAAUUGACGGGGCCCCGCACAAGCGGCGGAGCAUGCGGAUUAAUUCGAUGCAACGCGUAGAACCUUACCUGGGUUUGACAUGGAUCGGGAGUGCUCAGAGAUGGGUGUGCCUCUUUUGGGGUCGGUUCACAGGUGGUGCAUGGCUGUCGUCAGCUCGUGUCGUGAGAUGUUGGGUUAAGUCCCGCAACGAGCGCAACCCUUGUUCACUGUUGCCAGCACGUUAUGGUGGGGACUCAGUGGAGACCGCCGGGGUCAACUCGGAGGAAGGUGGGGAUGACGUCAAGUCAUCAUGCCCCUUAUGUCCAGGGCUUCACGCAUGCUACAAUGGCUGGUACAGAGAGUGGCGAGCCUGUGAGGGUGAGCGAAUCUCGGAAAGUCGGUCUCAGUUCGGAUUGGGGUCUGCAACUCGACCUCAUGAAGUCGGAGUCGCUAGUCAUCGAAAAUCAGCAACGCUGCGGUGAAUACGUUCCCGGGGC